AACACCAUACAGCCAGAGUAUUCCAACAUUUGUUAGACAACACAUCAACCAAAUCAUAAGUAACAGCUCUUACACUUGGUGAUACAACCCUCCCAAAACCUCUAGCAUGAAGCUGUUCACCACUACAUCCACCCUGGUGAUCCUGGUGGUGUUGGGGUUAAGUCUGGAGAUGGUGACCGCUGAGGACUGUGACCUGCCAUCCUGUGCAGUCAUCUCUGGGCAGGAAGUUCGCUGUAAGAACCCUUACGCCUGGUUCGAAUAUCACCCUCACCCAACCAAUCCUAACUUGUACGUACAGUGCACAAGGUAUGGCCCUCAGGUGAUGAGCUGUCCCGAGAGUUUGAUCUGGUCCCAGUCGUCCAGACUGUGCAACUAUGACAAUAAGCCCAUUCCUGAAAACUGUAACUGCAACAACUGCUUCCUGCCAAACCCCGCUGAUGCUACUACCUACUACUGGUGCUUCGAUUCGAACGGUGAUGGAGUAAUAACACCCCACGAGCAAGCCUGCGCCCCCGGCACCACCUAUAAUCAGGCCAUCAAGCGAUGCACUUAAACUGCGCCUCCACCACCAUUUGCGCCACCCAGGAACACCUGGUGGAUAUGAUGACGAUGACUAUCUGGAAGAGCAGCAACAACAAACAACAAAGCAGCAACAACAAACAACAAAGCAGCAACAACAAAAGAACAGGAUUUACUAUUACCAAGAAGGACAACAAAUACAACAACAAUGAACCGCAGUACCGAGUACAGCCAGAACAUCAAAAACUUUAAAUGCCAGCCACAACAACAAUAAAAACAACUACAACAACAGCAAUGGCAACAACUUCAAGAGCAGCAACAACAUCAACAAAAACAUCUACAACAACAACAACAACAGUGGCCAUAACAAAAAUCAAUUUCACUGGAUAAGAAUCAGCUUGACAGUGUACACAACAAUGACUGGCUUGUGUUGACACCCUCCACACACACACCUGCUGCCUCUAUACACACCUGCUCUUACACACAUGCUGUCUCCACACACCUGCUAAUACGUACAUAUUUGUCAAUUUUGCACAGCUUCUGUUCUUAUUAACCCAUGUUGCUCUGCAUUCUCUUAUAAGAACUUGUUUUGAUCAUUCAGUAAAUCAGUUUCAUUUACACUGGAAUUAUGUAAACACUUGUAUAUGGCCGAUUUCUUUCAUCUUACAUAUUAUAUCUAAGGAAUAUAAUUUACAAUUGUCCUUUUUAAUCUUGCAAUCAAGUAAUCCAUUAUAGAAAAUUAUUUACAACUGGCUUUUAAUAGAUUAAAAUGUAAACAAAAAUAUUCAUAAAUGUGCUUUUCUUUCCCAAAUAAAUAUCCAUAAAAAAUAUCA
rnacentral:misc_RNA from 1 species